UACGCAGGGUGCGAGCGUUAAUCGGAUUUACUGGGCGUAAAGCGUGCGCAGGCGGCCCGUUAAGACAGGUGUGAAAUCCCUGGGCUCAACCUAGGAAUUGCGCUUGUGACUGGCGGGCUCGAGUACGGUAGAGGGGGGUGGAAUUCCUGGUGUAGCAGUGAAAUGCGUAGAGAUCAGGAGGAACACCGAUGGCGAAGGCAGCCCCCUGGGCCUGUACUGACGCUCAUGCACGAAAGCGUGGGGAGCAAACAGG
rnacentral:rRNA from 1 species